UUUGAGUUUUAUUCUUGCUUUAUUAUUUAUUUUUGUAUUAUUUUAUAUGUUAAUUUUUGUAUUUAUUUUAUUUCUGGUAAAAUUGUAUUUUGUGUUAUGCAGUAAUGAAUAUUAUAUAUUUAGGAUACUUUGAUUUAGUUAUUAUUAUUAAUUAUUGAUUAAAUAUGUGCCAGCAAUCGCGGUUAUACAUUGAAUAUGAAUAAAUAUUUUUAGUUAGUAUGGUUACUUUUUUGUUUUGUGAAUACUUGCUUGUAUAUUAAUUAGGUAAAAUUGUUAAUAUUUGUUUAUUUAUUAUUUAGUUAUAUUUUGAAGCCAUGAAAUUUGAUGUAUAUAAACUAGGAUUAGAUACCCUAUUAUUAUUUUAUGUAAAGUGUGAAGACUGGGGUAGUAUUAGAUUGGUCUUGAAACUUAAAGAAUUUGGCGGUAUUUUAAUUCUUUUUAGAGGAAUCUGUUCCGUAAUCGAUAAUCCGCGAUGUACCUUACUUUUCUUAUUUGUUUGUAUACCGCCGUUGUUGAAUAUUUUUUGAGGAUUACUAAUUUUCUUGAUUUUUGUUUGAAAAUUAUUUCAGGUCAAGGUGCAGCUGAUGGAUGUAGUGGAAAUGGAUUACAAUAUUGUUUUGAUAUAUGGAUGAUUUAUGGUAUUAUAAUUUUGAAGGUGGAUUUAAUAGUAAUUUUUUAUAUAUUGUGAGAAUGAAAAGAGCUCUGGAAUAUGUACAUAUCGCCCGUCACUCUCGUUAAUUUAAAAAUGAGAUAAGUCGUAACAAAGUAGGUGUACUGGAAAGUGUAUCUAGAAUUAU
rnacentral:ncRNA from 1 species